rnacentral:tRNA from 1 species
GUCCCCAUCGUCUAGAGGCCUAGGACGCCGGGUUCUCAUCCCGGUAACACGGGUUCGACUCCCGUUGGGGAUGCCA